rnacentral:rRNA from 1 species
UACAGAGGGUGCAAGCGUUGUUCGGAAUUACUGGGCGUAAAGCGCGUGUAGGCGGCUUAUUAAGUCGGACGUGAAAUCCCUUGGCUUAACCAAGGAACUGCGUCCGAUACUGCUAGGCUUGAGUGUCGGAGGGGGUGGCGGAAUUCCCGGUGUAGAGGUGAAAUUCGUAGAUAUCGGGAGGAACACCUGUGGCGAAGGCGGCAUCCUGGACCGACACUGACGCUGAGGAGCGAAAGCCAGGGGAGCAAACGGG